GAAACAUUAGUUCAGUUGAUUAGAGCACAGUGCUGAUGACACUAAGGUUGUGGGUUUGAUCCCUGUAUGGGUCA
rnacentral:tRNA from 1 species